GACGAACGCUGGCGGCGUGCCUAAUACAUGCAAGUCGAACGCAGUGGGGACGGUUGCGUAACACGUGGGUAACCUCCCAUCAGAGGGGAUAACACUUGGAAACAGGUGCUAAACCGAUACUGAUGGCUGAACCCGCGGUGCAUUAGCUAGUUGGGGAGGUAACGGCUCACCAAGGCCACGAUGCAGAGCCGAACGGAGAGGGGGAUAGGCCACACGGGGACUGAGACACGGCCCAGACGCCUACGGGAGGCAGAAGUAGGGAAUCUGAGGAAAUGGACGAAAGUCUGACCGAGCAACGCCGCGUGAGUGAAGAAGGUUUUCGGAUCGUAAAACUCUGUUGUUAGAGAAGCGGUAUCUAACCAGAAAGCCAAGGCUAACUACGUGCCAGCAGCCGCGGUAAUUC
rnacentral:rRNA from 1 species